CAAAAAGUAGCUUACAUUAAAGCACUCGACCUACAAUCGAAUGACAUUACACAAUAAUCUUUUUGA
rnacentral:tRNA from 1 species